rnacentral:rRNA from 1 species
AGAGUUUGAUCCUGGCUCAGGGUGAACGCUGGCGAUGUGCCUAAGACAUGCAAGUCGAGCGGGACUUGUGUUUCACACUUAGAAUUUAAUCUUUAAAUUAAGCUUUGAGUGUGAAAUAUAAGUUUAGCGGCGAACGGGUGAGUAAUAAGUACAAACAUGCCCCUUUGUAGGACAUAGUCCGCCGAAAGGCGGGGUAAUUUCCUAUAGUAUCUUCGGAUUAAAGACGCAAGUCGCGAAGGGAUUGGUGUACUCGCUACCAGCUUGUUGGUGAGGUAAUGGCUCACCAAGGCUAUGACGGCUACCGGCUCUUAGCGGAGAGUCCGGCACAAUGGGACUGAGACACGGCCCAUACUUCUACGGAAGGCAGCAGUUAGGAAUUUUGCGCAAUGGACGAAAGUCUGACGCAGCGACAUCGCGUGUGGGAUGACAGCCUUAGGGUUGUAAACCACUUUUUGAGAGCCAUGAAGGCGCCCAGAAUAAAGAACUACUAACUACGUGCCAGCAGUCGCGGUAAUACGUAGGUUCCGAGCGUUACCCGGUUUAUUGGCGUAAAGGGUCCGUAGUGUUUCUAAGUUUGUUUCAAAGUCCCCGACUUAAUCGGGGAAGGGGCAGGAUACUGGAAGACUAGAGUCAUAUCGGGGUUACUGGAAUUUGUGGUGUAGGGGUAAAAUCCGUGGAUACCACAAAGAACACCAAGCGCGAAGGCGGGUAACCAGGUAUGUACUGACACUCAGGGACGAAAGCUAGGGUAGCCAAUCAGAUUAGAGACCUGAGUAGUCCUAGCCGUAAACAUUGUCUGUUAAUUUUCCCCUUUUUUAGGGGGAGAUGCUAGCUAACGCGUUAAACAGACCGCCUGGGGAGUAUAGCCGCAAGGCCGAAACUCAAACGAAUUGGCGGGGAGGCGCACAACCAGUGGAGCAUGUGGUUCAAUUCGAUACGAAGCGAUGAACCUUACCUGGGUUUGAAAUGUAUCUGCAAGCUUUAUGAAAGUAAAGCCGCCUUCGAGGGUGAUACACAGCUGUUGCAUGGCUGUCGUCAGCUCGUGACGUGAGUUGUUCUCUUAAGUGAGGUAACGAGCGCAACCCCUAUCGUAUGUUACUGUGUCAUACGAGACUGCCCAGCAUUAUUUUGUUGGGAGGAAGGAGGGGACGACGUCAAGUCAUCAUGAUGCUUAUAUCCAGGGCUACACACAUCCUACAAUGGGUUGUACAGAGGGUUGCAAGACCGCAAGGUGGAGCUAAUCCCUAGAACAUCCCUCAGUUGGGAUUGCAGGCUGAAAUUCGCCUGCAUGAACCCGGAAUUGGUAGUAAUCGCAAAUCAGCAGAUUGCGGUGAAUACGUUCUCGCCUCUUGCACACACUGCCCGUCAAAUCAGCAAAGUUGAGGGUACCCGAAGGCUCUGAUUCGUCAUGGACUAAGGUAAAUUCAGCGAUGAGGGUUAAGUCGUAACAAGGUAAC